GGCCCGGGUCCGAGGAUGGAAGCGAUCCCCGCCGGGAGGGAGAACAAAGCGGUGGCCCUCUCUCUCCCCCGACGCACGAUUUCAUGCACGCGAUUGUCCCAAGCAGAAGCGUGAAAGAGCCUGUGAGCCAGCGUGCUCUUGGAGGAUGGGAAGUGUCCUGGAUGUGUUUUCAAACCUUGGAGCCGCCACCCACCUCUCUCCACCUCCGCUCAUCUCCCUCCACCUCCCCUCACCUCCCUCCACCUCCCCUCACCUCCCUCCAUCUUCCUCCACCUUUCUCCACCUUCCCCCACCUCCCUCAUCCCAG
rnacentral:lncRNA from 1 species